rnacentral:rRNA from 1 species
CCUACGGGAGGCAGCAGUGAGGAAUAUUGGUCAAUGGACGAGAGUCUGAACCAGCCAAGUAGCGUGAAGGAUGACUGCCCUAUGGGUUGUAAACUUCUUUUAUCUGGGAAUAAAAUGUUCCACGUGUGGGCUUUUGUAUGUACCUUAUGAAUAAGGAUCGGCUAACUCCGUGCCAGCAGCCGCGGUAAUACGGAGGAUCCGAGCGUUAUCCGGAUUUAUUGGGUUUAAAGGGAGCGUAGGUGGAUUGUUAAGUCAGUUGUGAAAGUUUGCGGCUCAACCGUAAAAUUGCAGUUGAAACUGGCAGUCUUGAGUACAGUAGAGGUGGGCGGAAUUCGUGGUGUAGCGGUGAAAUGCUUAGAUAUCACGAAGAACUCCGAUUGCGAAGGCAGCUCACUGGACUGCAACUGACACUGAGGCUCGAAAGUGUGGGUAUCAAACAGGAUUAGAUACCCUGGUAGUG